rnacentral:rRNA from 1 species
UACGUAGGGGGCAAGCGUUGUCCGGAAUUAUUGGGCGUAAAGAGCGUGUAGGCGGCCAAGCAGGUCAGCUGUGAAAACUCGAGGCUCAACCUCGAGACGUCGGUUGAAACCGCUUGGCUAGAGUCCGGAAGAGGAGAGUGGAAUUCCCGGUGUAGCGGUGAAAUGCGCAGAUAUCGGGAAGAACACCCGUGGCGAAGGCGGCUCUCUGGGACGGUACUGACGCUGAGACGCGAAAGCGUGGGGAGCGAACAGG